CCUACGGGAGGCAGCAGUGGGGAAUCUUCCGCAAUGGGCGAAAGCCUGACGGAGCAACGCCGCGUGAUCGAAUGAAGCCCUUCGGGUUGUAAAGAUCUGUUGACAGGGACGAAUAAGCAAUGCGUAUAGUUUUGUGUAUGACGGUACCUGUUUAGAAUGCUCCGGCUAACUACGUGCCAGCAGCCGCGGUAAUACGUAGGGAGCAAGCGUUGUCCGGAGUUACUGGGCGUAAAGGGCGCGUAGGUGGGCGCUUAAGUCAGGGGUGAAAACUCCGGGCUAAACCUGGAGACGGAACUUGAAACUGGGUGUCUUGAGGGCAGGAGAGGAGAGUGGAGUUCCUGGUGUAGCGGUGAAAUGCGUGGAUAUUAGGAGGAACACGAGUGGCGAGGCGACUUUCUGGACUGUACCUGACGCUGAGGCGCGAAAGCGUGGGUAGCGAACGGGAUUAGAUACCCGUGUAGUC
rnacentral:rRNA from 1 species